UCAAUACACAGUGUUGAGGCCAAUCCUCAACAAGAGAACAAUUUUGUUUUCCUAAGUCCGCUCCAUUCUAUUUUUGUAAUUUAUACUCCCAGCAUGCUUAGUGGGCGCGUCUCAGUGUCGUCGUGUAGCGAGAAAGAAACCAUGUGCUUUGUAACGCGCUAGUCGCCGGGAGUUUCUCAUCGUAUGGUUUUUACUUGCGAGGUGAAGCUUGUUAGCCAAAGAUGAGACUCCAAUUCCGAUCCUGUUGUGUUGUUAAGAAAAUAUGCUGAGUGUGCAACUCUCGAUUAUUAAACCUUGUGUUCAAGAACC